rnacentral:rRNA from 1 species
GACUGUUUAAUAAAAACAUAGCUUUGUGAUGGCCUGAAAAGGUGUUGACACAAAGUGAUUUCUGCCCAGUGCUUUGAACGUGAAUAUGAAGUAAUUUGUAGAAGCUCAGGUAAACGGCGGGAGUAACUAUGACUCUCUUAAGGUAGCCAAAUGCCUCGUCAUCUAAUUAGUGACGCGCAUGAAUGGAUCAAUGAGAUUCCCACUGUCCCUAUUUACUAUUUAGCGAACCCACAGUCAAGGGAACGGGCUUGAAAUAAUCAGCGGGGAAAGAAGACCCUGUUGAGCUUGACUCUAGUCCGACUUUGUGAAAUGACUAACGAAGUUUAGCCUUAGGUGGGAGCCAACGCGCCAAUGAAAAACCACUAUUUGUUACGUCAUUUUACUUACUCCGUAAAGAAGUGAUCGGUUUACCGAUUCUAGAACUAAGGGUAGUUUACUGCCUGAGCUUUGCGGAAGACACGGUCAGGUGGGGAU